rnacentral:rRNA from 1 species
GUGCCAGCCGCCGCGGUAAUACGUAGGUCGCGAACGUUGUUCGGAAUUACUGGGCUUAAAGGGCGCGUAGGCGGUUUCGUAAGUCAAGGUUGAAAUCCGGCGGCUCACCCGUCGAAGUGGCCUCGAUACUGCGGAACUAGAAUCAUGGAGGGGUGCGCGGAACUUGUGGUGGAGCGGUGAAAUGCUCAGAUAUCACAGGGAACACCGGAGGCGAAGGCGGCGCACUGGCCAUGUAUUGACGCUGAGGCGCGAAAGCCAGGGGAGCGAACGGGAUUAGAUACCCUUGUAGUCC